AAAUGGUCGCGCCUUUAUUUAAUAAAGGUGAGGAAAGUCCGGGCUUCACAGGGCAGGGUGCCGGAUAACGUCCGGUGGAGGCGACUCCAAGGCUAGUGCAACAGAAAUAUACCGCCUGUAGGGGAACCGCGUUGCGGCCCUACCGGUAAGGAUGGAAAGGUGGUGUAAGAGACCACCGCUCUUCUGGUGACAGGAGAGGCCAUGUAAACCCCACCCGAAGCAAGACCGAACAUGAAGCGAUACAGUGGCCCGCUGUGCUUCAGGGUAGGUCGCGCAGCAUCAGCGCAAGCGGAUGCUGGAGCCACAUGGCAACAUGU
rnacentral:RNase_P_RNA from 1 species